AUUUGUGGUGGUUUUCUCUUUGGUCCAUUUGUUAAGUUUUCAAAUGGGCCUGACUCGGCCACAUACAUUAUAAAGGAUCUGGCAAAGGCUUGAUGACAGAGAUUUCUGUUGAGCCUAUCCUGCAUCACAGCUUGGCUCCCACAUGC
rnacentral:snoRNA from 14 species